GUGCCCACCCCUUUGGCUGCUGCGGAACCAUCCAGGUUUAGAGGAGCAAAGUGUGUGCUGAUCUUUCUCGCCAAAGUUGGACUUCAGACUGUUGUUUAACCUUGUGUGUGCAAUAAAGACAGGAGUGCUUCCACUCUCACAGGGAUGGACUUGUAGUCCUCAAAUAAGUGAUGUGAUUCCUGGAUCAAGAUUAUGAACCAUGUAUCAUCAAAGCUUGAACGAUAAUGAGUUUUUAAGAGAGACAAUUUAAAGAUUUGUUUUUUCUUUUAGGAUUUAAUUAAUUUGUCACUAAUAAUAGACCAGAAUUGAUUGCAUGGAGUAACAAUGUUGGAAGCCUGCUCUGAUGGGUUUUGUCUGAGGAGUUCUGAGGAGGACAUCUGGAUCAGAGUGAGGACAAGGAGACCUGGGAGCUAAAUGCCAGUACUAGCUGAUGGACCCUGAUGCCAGUGGUGGUUUAAGCUGUUUGCAUCUGGAGGGUGUUAAGAGAGAACAUCUCCCAUUACCUCUCCUGUCCCUGCCAAACCAAUUCAAAGCACCCUGCAAACCAGUUUCCUCUGCCAGGCAAUUGCAACGCCUGAAGCAGGGCCACAGCCUGUGUUUACAUCAAGGAGGAGAAUGUCCAGGGGUUUUUAAUUCCUUUCCAGCCCAAAGCACCUAACUGCAUAGAAAUCUGGCCCUCAUUCACCCUGCAGUUGCCAUGAUGUGUAAUGGAAAAAGGAUGCUUAUAAGGAUACUUUCUUUUGGAAGAAUUUUGUUUCUGAUCCAACUGGCAAUAACUGUAUCUCUUAUUUUAUGGAUCUGUAUAGUCAACAGAUCAAUUUUAUUAUACUUGGCCACUGCAGAAAAACUGUAAACUCCUGCUGUUAGCUGAUGUCUGGGAAAUAUGUUUACAACUUCAUUUCUUUCCUUUGGUGACAUCAAUGUAUUUCUUUAUUUAAUAAAAAUUGUGUUGUGCUCUCUCCCA